UAACUGAGCGUGAUGAGUUGGCG
rnacentral:piRNA from 1 species